rnacentral:rRNA from 1 species
AGUGAACGCUGGCGGUAGGCCUAACGCAUGCAAGUCGAACGGCAGCACAGUAAGGGCUUGCUCUUACGGGUGGCGAGUGGCGGAAGGGUGAGGAAUACAUCGGAAUCUACUUUUUCGUGGGGGAUAACGUAGGGAAAUUUACGCUAAUACCGCAUACGAAAUACGGGUGAAAGCAGGGGAUCUUCGGGCCUUGCGCGAUUGAAUGAGCCGAUGUCGGAUUAGCUAGUUGGCGGGGUAAAGGCCCACCAAGGCGACGAUCCGUAGCUGGUCUGAGAGGAUGAUCAGCCACACUGGAACUGAGACACGGUCCAGACUCCUACGGGAGGCAGCAGUGGGGAAUAUUGGACAAAGGGCGCAAGCCUGAUCCAGCAAUGCCGCGUGCGUGAAGAAGGCCUUCGGGUUGUAAAGCCCUUUUGUCAGGAACGAAAAGCAGUAGGCUAAUACCCCGCGGUAAUGACGGUACCCAAAGAAUAAGCACCGGCUAACUUCGUG